AGGAUGAACGCUGGCGGCGUGCCUAACACAUGCAAGUCGAACGUCCUGUCUCGCAAGAGGCAGGGAGUGGCGGACGGGUGAGUACCACGUGGGUCAUCUACCGUGAGGUGAGGAAUACCGGCGAGAAAUCGCCGACAAGACCGCAUAGGCUCGAUGCAAGUCGAGCAAAGCUCUUUCGAGAGAGGGAGCGCCACACGAGGAGCCUGCGCCCGAUUAGCUAGCUGGUGGAGUAACGGUUCACCAGGGCGACGAUCGGUAGCUGGUCUGAGAGGACGAUCAGCCACACUGGGAUUGAGAACGGCCCAGACUCCUACGGGGGGCAGCAGUGAGGAAUUUUCGUCAAUGGGGGCAACCCUGAACGAGCAACGCCGCGUGCAGGAAGAGGUUUCGGAUCGUAAACUGCUUUUCUCGGGAAGAGAACGGACGGUACCCGAGGAAUCAGCCCGGCUAACUACGCGCCAGCAGCCGCGU
rnacentral:rRNA from 1 species